rnacentral:rRNA from 1 species
UACGUAGGGGGCAAGCGUUGUCCGGAUUUAUUGGGCGUAAAGAGCGUGUAGGCGGCCGUACAGGUCAGCUGUGAAAACUCGAGGCUCAACCUCGAGACGUCGGUUGAAACCGUACGGCUAGAGUCCGGAAGAGGAGAGUGGAAUUCCCGGUGUAGCGGUGAAAUGCGCAGAUAUCGGGAGGAACACCGGUGGCGAAGGCGGGACUCUGGGCCGAUACUGACGCUGAGGAGCGAAAGCGUGGGGAGCGAACAGG